AGCUUUGUGCAGCGGCAAUAUUGUAGCCAACGCGGUUUAUCCAAGGCAUGAUUGUUGCUAAUUGAAAACUUUUCCCCAUAUCCUGCCAUGAUGACUUGAAAUACAGUUGGCAUUGGCAAUUUUUGAGAGUCUCUAUGGAAA
ensembl:snRNA U4 U4 spliceosomal RNA